GUAAAAUCCAGCUCUGUUGUUGGAGCUCUCUCUGGUGGCAGUUUCCGAAAACGAUCCAGCCCCGUGGAUUUUGCGGAAGGUUGGUAACACCAAGGCGUCAUGGGCAUUCAGCAGGAAGCAGUGAGAGGAAAGAUCCUCCGCCCUUUCAGAGACGGGGCGGAAGGGCCAGCUGUGCCCUCUGCAAGGUGGCCGGCUGUUCAGAUUCUGAAGAGGUGGAAUUCCGCGGGAGUCGGCCCUGCCAACGCGCCCACGUGUCCUGGGGGCUGGAUGAUUUGCUCAGACGACUUGGAAAUCCGCCGCGUGGCCCCCAGGUAUACAUAUUUUCUAAAUGGAUGUUGGCGUGUUAGGUGACCUGGGGAUACUUGCUACCGCUGUCAAGGAGAGAAACUCAAGAAUCUGAAACUCAGUAUUUCCACGAAUUUGCGCAACAUGGGAUGUCAUCGCCUGGACACCACCGCCCCCUCGCGGCAGCUCACCUAAAUUUGCAGAUGGUGACAAGGAAUUCAAGGGCUUGAAGGUUCAGCCCCUAGAAACCUGAGUUAAACGGGUUGGAUAAUGGCCCCAAAGCUUUAUUCAUCCCUGGAAGGAACUGUAACUAGAUUGGAGGCUUUAUCUGCUUAAUGCCAUAAUGCCUUUCCCCAGCCUAAGUGCAUCUAGAGCCAGAUUACCCAAACCCACUUGCAAAUUAACUCACAUUAAAAUUUGCAAGCUUCUUGGGGGUGGAGUAAGGCGGUUAAAAAAAAAAAAAGAAAAGAAAAAAAAAAUCACAAGAUUCGGAAAGCAGUAUGCUCCUACCCCAGAGUGGAUUCAUUGAAAGAAAAUGACCCUAAGCCCAUGUGGCAUUUCCUGUUAUUAAAUCCCCCAUUUGUAUGGACAUAAUCUUUUCUUUUUUGCUUUUAUUGAGGUAAAGUUUACAUAACACAAAAGGAACCAUUUUAAGUGACUAAUUUAGUGGCAUUGAGUACAUUCACUAUUUUAUGUAAACUAUUACCUCUAUCAAGGUCCAAAAUAUUUUUAUCGUUCCAGAAUAAAACCCACACCCAGGAUGUAGUUACGCUCUGUUCUCUGGCAGACACCAGUUUGCUUCUGUACGUAUGGGUUUACCUAUUUGGGGUAUGUAAUAGAAAUACAUAUAUUUUCCAUGUAUUUGUGUCUGUUUUCUUUCACUUAAGACUUUUGAUGUUCACACACAUCAUAGCAUGUUACAAUACUUCAUUCCUUUUUAUAGUCGAAUAAUAUUCUGUUAUGUGUAUAUUUCACAUUUUGUUUGUCCACUGAUGGAUAUUUGGGUUGUUUCAACCUUUUGGCUGUUGUGAACAAUACUGCUAUAAAUAUUCAUAUACAUGUA
rnacentral:lncRNA from 1 species